GACGAACGCUGGCGGCGUGCUUAACACAUGCAAGUCGAACGGAAAGGCCCUGCUUGUGUGGGGUGCUCGAGUGGCGAACGGGUGAGUAACACGUGAGUAACCUGCCCUUGACUUUGGGAUAACUUCAGGAAACGGGAGCUACUACAGGAUAGGAGCCCCUGCUGCAUGGUGGGGGUUGGAAAGUUUCGGCGGUUGGGGAUGGACUGGCGGCUUAUCAGCUUGUUGGUGGGGUAGUGGCUUACCAAGGCUUUGACGGGUAGCCGGCCUGAGAGGGUGACCGGCCACAUUGGGACUGAGAUACGGCCCAGUGUCCUACGGGAGGCAGCAGUGGGGAAUAUUGCACAAUGGGCGGAAGCCUGAUGCAGCAACGCCGCGUGCGGGAUGACGGCCUUCUGGUUGUAAACCGCUUUCGCCUGUGACGAAGCGUGAGUGACGGUAAUGGGUAAAGAAGCACCGGCUAACUACGUG
rnacentral:rRNA from 1 species